UCAGGAUAGCUGAACUUUUAUAAAAUAGUUUUAUCAGGUAAAGCGAAUGAUUAGAAGCUCUGGGGAUGAAACAUCCUCGACUUAUUCUCAAACUUUAAAUAGGUAAGAAGACUGCAGUACUUAACUGACUGUCAGUCUCUUGAAUAGUAAGUUCUUAGUGGGCCAUUUUUGGUAAGCAGAACUGGCGAUGUGGGAUGAACCAAACGUAAAGUUAAAGUGCCUAAAAAUACGUUCAUCAGAUACCACAAAAGGUGUUGAUUCAUCUUGACAGUUGGACAGUGGCCAUGGAAGUCGGAAUCUGCUAAGGAGUGUGUAACAACUCACCAACCGAAUGAAUUAGCCCUGAAAAUGGAUGGCGCUUAAACGUAUUACUUAUACUUUACCAUUAAGAUAAAUGCUAAAUCUUAAUGAGUAGGAGGGC
rnacentral:rRNA from 1 species